rnacentral:rRNA from 1 species
CUUUGUGAUGGCGACCGGCGCACGGGUGAGUAACGCGUAUCCAACCUUCCCUAUACUAGAGAAUAGCCCGGCGAAAGUCGGAUUAAUUGCUCUAUGUUCUCUUUGAUGGCAUCUGACGAGAAGCAAAGGUUUACCGGUAUAGGAUGGGGAUGCGUCUGAUUAGGUGUUGGCGGGUAAACGGCCACCAAGCCUACGAUCAGUAGGGUCUGAGAGGAAGGUCCCCCACAUUGGUACUGAGACACGGACCAAACUCCUACGGGAGGCAGCAGUGAGGAAUAUUGGUCAAUGGGCGAGAGCCUGAACCAGCCAAGUAGCGUGCCAGGACGACUGCCCUAUGGGUUGUAAACUGCUUUUAUGCGGGAAUAAAGUCAGGUACGUGUACCUGUUUGUAUGUACCAUGAGAAUAAGGACCGGCUAAUUCCGUGCCAGCCGCCGC